GCCUUCGUGGUGUAAUGGUUAGCACACUGAGCCGGUAAUUCAGAGGUCCGUGGUUCGAUUCCCGGCGAAGGCA
rnacentral:tRNA from 1 species